UUCAUUUAUGGCCGACUUUCUCCAUGGACAGACUAAUAUAGUAAUAUUUGCUACAUGAACAGAAAUUAUUGGAGCUGGAGUUAUUGUCUGUGUUAGUUUCUCUGGAAACAAACAUACGUACGCUGAGUCAAUCCAGCCCCACAAGACUGAUGAAUUGAAAUCACAUGCCUGCACCAAAUCAAUGGCGAAAGAGAAAGGACAAGAUCACGAGAAGAUCGAAUUCGAUUUCCCUCUCUAUAAAUUCAAUUCCUUCAUAAUUAACUAAUACCCGAUUCAGAAAAAUGAAAAUGAGAGGAAUCGGAACCGGAAUCCUUACCUUCUGCAGGCUCUUCCUCGCCGCCGCACUACUUCCGAUCACCUUUUCCAAAACCGAACGAUGUAACCCACAAGACAAAGCAGCGCUCUUCAACAUCAAGGAAAGCCUCGGCAACCCUUACCUCUUAGCCUCAUGGACUCGUGACUCCGACUGCUGCACCAGCUGGUACCAAGUCGAAUGCGACCGGACCACCAACCGGAUCACUUCCCUCACCAUCUUCGCCGGCGAACUCUCCGGCCAGAUCCCUCCCGCAGUGGGGGACCUCCCUUUCCUCGAAACGCUCGUCUUCCGCAAGCUCACCAACGUCACCGGUACAGUCCAGCCGGCGAUCGCCAAACUCAAACGACUCACGUUCCUCCGGCUCGACCAUUUAAAUCUAACUGGUUCAGUCCCUGGUUGGCUUGGCCAGCUCAAGACACUGACCUUACUCGACCUCUCGUUCAACUCGUUCACCGGCUCGAUCCCGGCGGAGCUUGCUAACUUGCCCAAUCUGGAGUCGCUCUACUUAGAUAGGAACAAGCUUACCGGACGGAUCCCGGACUCGUUCGGAAAAUUCUUGAAGUUCCCGUCGCUGUCCCUCUCGCACAAUCAGUUGUCCGGCGAGAUCCCGGCGUCGAUGGAGAAUUACAACACUGAUUACUCAAUCGAUCUGUCGAGGAACCGAUUAGAAGGCGACGCUUCGCUGUUGUUCGGCGGUGACAAGAGCGUGCUGUUCGUGGAUAUAUCGAGGAAUCUGUUCGAGUUCGAUUUCGGGAAAGUGGCGGCGUUUCCUCCGAACAUGACGAAUUUGGAUGUGAAUCAUAACAAGAUCUACGGGAAGAUUCCGGCGGGGUUGGUGAAGCUGGAUCUGCAGUUUUUUAAUGCCAGCUAUAAUCGGUUGUGUGGGGAGAUUCCCGCUGGCGGGAAGUUGCAGAGCUUCGAUUCCACGGCUUAUUUCCAUAACCGGUGCCUGUGUGGAAGCCCGCUUGAGCCCUGCAAGUGAAGAGCUGCUGGGUUGCUAGCUCUGAGUCAAUAACCAGAACCUGGUUCAACCGAAUAUUUACGUUGUUCAAUAAAGCGGAUUGAGAUUUGGUUUUACUAGCCCGUUUAAAGAUGAUUAGGUUUUAUGUACCAAUUCACCCAUUCGGAUUUAAUUACAUCAUAUAUCACUGAAUUUUAACUCUUCCACACUCACCAUUAAAUUUUAUUUAGGGCAGCCGAUAUUAUUAAAUUUUAAUUUUAAUUUCAUCGAUUAUCAUUUCGUUAAAAUAAUUGACAGAAAUCUGAUAUCGACGUUGCCCAAUCAUACCAAAUGCUGACAUGGACGCCAUGUUACAAUAUUUUAAGUUUUAAGUUGAAAACUCAAAACGAACCGGUUUUGUUCAUGAACCAAAACGCUCUCAUUACAAAGUACUGGUGUUGCUCACUUCUCCAUCAUCUUACAACUGUAAAAAAAAAAACAGAAGAUUGAAUGUUUUAAUUCAUCUCUGUUACAACUUACAUGAACAUGGUUGCAGAGCUAAUAAAGGCAACUGAACUUUUUAUGAAAACUCUUACUUCAUCAUCUCUUCCUCCUUCUUGUUUAUCUCUAAAUCAGCUGAACCGAUCUCAAAUCCUCCAGAUCCCAGCUCAGUGCCAAACCCAGAUGACCAACAAUUACAACUACAUCAAUCCUCUGGUAGUGAAUCCUUCCCCGAUGAAGCGACCCUCUUCGACAGCCGCUAAGCCGCCGACAAAGCUCUACCAGGGAGUGAGUCAACGCCACUGGCUCAGGACCUUCCAGACUGCCGAAGAAGCUGCUCUUACAUUAAUUGGUUCACUAGCUGCUCGAGACCUUGAGUAGCUGGUUGGUUUUCGUAACUAAGGCUGGCCAUUUGUGCUACCAGGUUGCUUGGUUGGUGGCCGCGGUGGUUGUGUUUAACCAUGGUGGUCAGAGGAAUAAGUAAGAAUUUAACCAUGGUGUUGUAUUUUAGUUUAUAGGUAAACGACGCCGUUUAAAUUUUUUAAUAAAAAUAUAAGUAAAAUUCUGACGUGAUAGAGGUUAACGGCCAAUCAGUCCACAUCAGAUGUCUGUCAAUCAUUUUAACGGACUGAUAGUCGAUGAAAUUAAAGUUGAACUUUAGUGGUAUCAAAUGCACUAAAUAAAGUUUAAUGGGGAGUGUGAAAGGUUUUAAAAAGUUCAGUGGUAUAUCGUAUAAUUAAUUCUAUCAAUAUGUUUUAUUAUUGUCCAUAUAUUUAAAUGUAUGGUAAAAUAAUUUGGUUCCCAUAAAAUUGUAUAUGAUCAAAGGUAUAAAAACACAAUUCAUGUAAUGACAGCUCAACNNNNNNNNNNNNNNNNNNNNNNNNNNNNNNNNNNNNNNNNNNNNNNNNNNNNNNNNNNNNNNNNNNNNNNNNNNNNNNNNNNNNNNNNNNNNNNNNNNNNNNNNNNNNNNNNNNNNNNNNNNNNNNNNNNNNNNNNNNNNNNNNNNNNNNNNNNNNNNNNCUUCAAAUAAUAAUUAAAUAAAAUUAAAAAGUAAUUUUUAUAAUUUUUUAUUAUUGUUGUUAGUAAAAAUGUAUAUGGAGUUGUUUAAAGGAUUCUCAAUAUAAAUUAGAGAUUGCUGCCUCUAAAAAAAGAAACGUAUAGGACGCUUAAGGCUAAUAAUCCCUAAACCCUUCCUGCGCCGAAAACGGCUUGGUUAUUCGACUCAGAACUCAAUUUUUGGCGACCCUAACUUAAGUACAGUUGGUCGUGUUUUUUUUCUACCAUAUUAUGCUUCAUUCUACUUUCUCUGCAAAAGGCUAUUCAAGGUUUAUUUGAACAUGGAAAGGUAUGAACUGUUCCUCUCGUUUCCACGAAGCAAUGAAGGUUGACUGUCGGGUUUUUCUCGGCAGAUGGUUUGUGGUCGUGGGAUUGGACUGUUCUCCCUCGCCUCUUGUUUCUGAUUAAUUUGUACAGCUAGUGGUUAUGCGAGUUGCAGCGUAAUGGCGGCUGUGGGGAUCGAAGGUGUUAUCUUUGUCUUCAUCUUUAGCUCUCUUAAUAUUGUUAUAUAUUCAGUUACUUCAUCAACUAUUACCAACUCGGAAAACAUAAUGGGAAUAAUCAGAAUCGGAAAUCUUACCUUCUGCCUGCUCAUCCUCGCCGCCGCACUACUUCCGACCACCUUCUCCAAAACCGAACGCUGCAACCCGCAAGACAAAGCAGCGCUCUUCAAAAUCAAGCAAAGCUACGGAAACCCUCGCCUCUUAGCCUCCUGGACUCGCGAUUCCGACUGCUGCACCAGCUGGCACCAAGUCCAAUGCGACCCCACCACCAACCGAAUCACUUCCCUCGGCAUCUUCGACGGCGAACUCUCUGGCCAGAUCCCGUCAGCAGUUGGCGACCUCCCUUUCCUCGAAGCGCUCGUCUUCCGUAAACUCACCAACAUCACCGGCCAAGUCCAGCCGGCGAUCGCCAAACUCAAACGCCUCAGGGUCAUCCGGCUCGACCAUUUAAAGCUGACCGGUUCGAUCCCCGCUUGGAUCGGCCAGCUCAAAUCCCUGACCAACCUCGACCUUUCGUUCAACCACCUCAGCGGCUCGAUUCCAGCGGAACUCGCUAACUUGUCCAAUCUCGAGUCGCUGUACUUGAUUCGGAACAAGCUCACCGGCCCGAUCCCGGACUCGUUUGGCAAAUUCUCGAAAUUCCCGUCGCUGUACCUCUCGCAGAACCAACUCUCCGGCCCGAUCCCGGCGUCGAUGGCGGAUUACAACGCCGAUUUCGAAAUCGAUCUGUCGAGGAACCGAUUGGAAGGCGACGCUUCGCUCUUGUUCGGCGGUGACAAGAGCGUGCUGUUCAUCGAUAUCUCGAGGAAUCUGUUCGAGUUCGAUCUGGGGAAAGUGGCGGCGUUUCCUCCGAAAAUGAUGAAUUUGGAUAUGAAUCAUAACAAGAUCUACGGGAAGAUUCCGGCGGCGUUGGUAAAUCUGACGAAUUUGCAGUUUUUCAAUGCCAGCUAUAAUCGGCUGUGUGGAGAGAUUCCCGCCGGCGGGAAGUUGCAGAGCUUUGAUUCUACGGCUUAUUUCCAUAACCAGUGCCUGUGUGGAAUCCCGCUCGAGAGCUGUAAGUGAAGAACUGCUGGGUUGCUAGCUGAGUCGAUUGGUUGAACCAGAACCUGGUUGGUUCGACAGAAGAUUUAGGUUGCUGAAUUUGUAUUUAAGUCCGGUUCGAUACAUGUUUAAAUUUCUAUUUUAAUUAAACCGUAUUAAUAUUUAACGUACUAAAAUUAUCAUUACAAAUCUAAACUCCUUAAAAUCUAAUUUCUAAACCCCUAAAUCGGGAAACAUCUUCAGAGUCGAGCCCUCCAUAUCUCGUCGCCCGCCAGUUGCCAGCCGCCUUCCGUUGAACAGCAGUCGCCGUCAACAGCUCCGUCGAAAUCUGAUAAUAAGCCCCUGUACUAAGACUCUAGUUAUAGAGAAAAACAAGUACAUUUAACCAGAAAACAAGUUGAAAUGAAAGACUUUCAACCUGAAUAUAAAGACUGGUGAUAAGGUCCGUUCCGUUGCGGUGAAUCGGUUCUUCAACGGUCUGGAUUGUUUCAAUUGAAGAAGUAUAUUCUAACUUCUUUGGAGAAAAACAAUCGGUUCUUCAAAGUAUCGAUCUCAAUUUCGCGCCUUGGUUGUCAUAUACUCGACAAAUCAGCAACGUCAAUCACUCCGCCGUCAUCGAAACAAAUAUCCCUAAUAGAAAAGCUUAUAAGUAUAAUCAUCAAUCAAUUAUCCAAAAUAAUAAAUUUAUUAUUCAAAUUCAACUUAAUGCAUGUUUCAAUCGUGAAUCCGUCGUGACUUAUCGGGCACCAGGUUUGUGCUCGUGGGAUUGGAAUUUCUCCUCGUACAGCUGUUUAUAUUAAUAUACACUCUAGUGGUAAUGCGAGCUGCCGCGUCUUUGACUUCCUUCAGUAUUGGCUGACUUUCUCCGUCGACAGACUGAUACCAAAUCACAUGCCUUCCCAAUCACAUCCGAAAGAGAAAGGAAGAGAAGUUCAAAUUCGAUUUCCCUCACUAACAAUCACUGUAUAAAUUCAAUUCCAUCAUAAUUAACUAAUACCCAAUUCCGAAAAGAGGAAAAUGAGAGGAAUCGGAAUCCUUACCUUCUGCCGGCUCUUCCUCGCCGCCGCACUACUUCCGAUCACCUUCUCCAAAACCGAACGCUGCAACCCGAAAGACAAAGCAGCGCUCUUCAACAUCAAGGAAAGCUUCGGUAACCCUUACCUCUUAGCCUCCUGGACUCACGACUCCGACUGCUGCACCAGCUGGUACCAAGUCGAAUGCGACCGGACCACCAACCGGAUCACUUCCCUCACCAUCUUCGCCGGCGAACUCUCCGGCCAGAUCCCUCCCGCAGUGGGGGAC
rnacentral:lncRNA from 1 species